GUGCUAUCGCGCUUUGCAGCGCGAGAGCGAUACCGUUCCGCCGAUGGAACCGAUCGAGUCUGCACAGCAGAAUCAAAUCCCACGAUCGCACUGAGCUGAAGUUAAAUGGAGCUACUGGAUAGGAAAAGGAAGGGACGUCGCCUCUUCGAAAUUCUCGAAAAGGAAAAGGAAGAGAUAACGAGCGCGAGAGAAAAUGGAAUUAUAUCUUCCGAGGCGUCGCCAGGCCGGUUUCGCGUCGCUCGUACGCGGAAACGUCGUAUUCGUUCGGAUCCGUCCACGUGAUUUACGUCGCGGAGUGCGGGAUUUUUUAGUCAAAGAUCGUCGCUCGUCGACGACAAGCGCGCGUUUCGCGAGCGCCUCUGACUGCCCGGCUGGACGGUCGUGAGCCAACUGAUAGGUGUAUGAAUGAAGCGGCCGAGAUUUCAGUCACUCUCUGUCUUUGCAGGAAAUUCAAAAGCCCACGUCGACGACGACGAUGACAAAAAUGAGUAGUGCUGCUCCUUGCGAUCGAUUUCUCGCGAUUUGCGGAUUUGCGCGACACUCGCCGACAUAAAAUCGCACAAGUCGUCUGCCGUGUGCUUUCGCACACUUUCGGAGUAAAAUUUCGCCGCGACAUUUCCUUCGGUUGUUUACAAAGAGAAGCGUGUGGAUUUUGCGAAUUUUGCAGACUUUUGUUCCAUCAACGAAGCACUCGUGCGACGCACAAAGAAAUUUUAUUGCGAUAAUCUAAAAUUAGUAGAACCGAGCGUUGUCGGUUUUGCCUGUUAAUGAUUACUUAGAUUCUUACAUUAGAAACAAUAAUCAUAAAAAAAAUAAUUAAUAUUUUAACCGCUUUUAUUUCGCGAGAUAAUACUCUGUAAAUUGUGUUUUUUAACAUUUUUUUCAAUCAUCAUGACGAUUGAUAACGUCGAAAGAUUAGAAAGAUUAGAUCGAGCGACGAUAAUAAUAAUUAAAUAUUGAAUAGGAAAAAUGUUAAAGAGAAUUGACAUUUCUUCAAGAAUAAGAGGUUCGACGACGGGAACGCAUAACUUAACUUUAUCUAAUGCGAUAAAUUUUCAGCGAGUCUAAUGAAUCAGAGUGUGGGCGACGACCUUUUCCUUUUCCGUUUCUACAUGCUAAAGUCAUUUUGCUAGUAUGCAACACGAGCAGCUAUCAUAUUAUUAUACAAACAUUUUUUGCUUUUCUGCGUUACUAAGAGCCAUCAACCUUGACCGUCGCGAACGAUACUAAUUGGCCAUUAAAGAGACACGAUAAUUUCGCCUACCGGCGACCUCGGUAAUGCUCCGAGUUUGAAUCACGUUUGGACGAUCGAAGAGAUAGCAAAAAUGUAUUAAUGCCCAAUAGUGAUCAGUCAUGCGCUACUUUCAUCGUUGCAAAAUUAUCUCAAAUUAUUUUAUCUAUAUCUGUAUGAACAUUUCCUCCUAUGACACAUAAACACAUAUACCAUCGUUGAAAAUGAAAA